UGAAAAGGUUCCAUUCAUCACGUAUUCCGGUGCCAUGUAUCCACUGUCAGAUAUUUUAUAAGAAUAAUGAGUUUCUUGAUUUAUUAUAUUA